AUACGGAGGGUGCGAGCGUUAAUCGGAAUUACUGGGCGUAAAGCGCGCGUAGGCGGCUAGAUCAGUCGGAUGUGAAAGCCCUGGGCUUAACCUGGGAACUGCAUUCGAUACUGUCUAGCUAGAGUAUGGUAGAGGGAAGCGGAAUUCCGGGUGUAGCGGUGAAAUGCGUAGAUAUCCGGAGGAACACCAGUGGCGAAGGCGGCUUCCUGGACCAAUACUGACGCUGAGGUGCGAAAGCGUGGGGAGCAAACAGGAUUAGAAACCCCGGUAGUCC
rnacentral:rRNA from 1 species